GCCAAAAUAGCUCAGUUGGGAGAGCGUUAGACUGAAGAUCUAAAGGUCCCUGGUUUGAUCGUGGGUUUUGGAA
rfam:Papio anubis isolate 1X1155 chromosome 4, whole genome shotgun sequence.